UAACUCAGUACAAAAACAAAAAUCUUAAUAUUUUCUUCCUUUUUUUUUGGAAAAAAGGUACAAAAAGUACCACAAAAAAAGGAAAUUGUUUUACAUGUCAAUUUCGUUAAACAGCUUACCAACGCGUGGUCUUUUUCCAAUACAUAGUUUUAUUUUAUUUUUCUUAUUAGGAAAUCAUUUUGUCUACUUAAAUUUCAUUUGUGUAUAUAAAGUUAAUAGUAGACUUGUUGAGUUGUCCCACAUCGGAGGGAUUUUAGGUCCUUGGUCUCCUUAUAUGGCUUGGACAAUCCUCACCUAGCUUAUGGGGUUGAGUUAGGCCCAAGGUCCAUUCUUAUCAGUCUUGACUAUUGUCAAUUAACAGACUUAGGUUUCAAAGGGAACAGAUAUACGUGAAAAAAUAAGAAAGUUCCAUUCUUUUAGAGACUGACUCACCUUGUCGGUUCCAUAGAUGUAAUCACAGUAAGUGAAGACUGAAGCAAAGUUGCUGUGACAACUUUCCCCAACAAAGUGGUGAUAGUCAU
rnacentral:lncRNA from 1 species